GCUUCAGCCCUGAGUGGUGGGACUUAGAGCCCGGGGCUUCAGCCCCAGGUGGUGUGGGCUUCGGCUUCUCCCCUGGGCCCGAGCAGGUCUAAUGCCAGCCCUGCUUGGUGGACCCCCUGAAACUUGCUUACUGUUCCCAAGUGUGCCACAGAUCCCUGGUUGAGAACCACUGACCUAGAGAUUACUUUAUAAUGCAAAUUAAAUGCAAUAAAAGCCACAGCAUUAGCUGCAAGUUUCCAUUACAUGGAGUUGAAACUUGUUAGAGAAAGGGGGAUAAAGUAAGUUUCCACCUCAUAUAGCAUACUCCAAACAUGGAAACCAGGAGCUUACAGUACAUCUUCAGUUCUUGAAUCAAAGGCAGGCAGCUUUGGACAACAUUAAGCAUAAGCCUGAGUUUACCAAAAGGCUCCCUGCUAUACAAUAGGUUUUUAAUAGAUUAACUUCUCCCCGUCCCCUUUUUUUAAGGUAGUCCCUCCCAAAGAUCCAUGGCAAGUCAUUCAUGUUGAUUCAUUAACAUUUUCCCUACUGGGGAUUUUUACCAGCUUUCUUCAAGUUUGUAGUAGGGUGUGGCUCUCCCAGCACUCUAAAAAAAACCCACCUCUAUGAGGGGGCAUAGCUACCAGUGUAUACACUGGCACUUUACAGCACUGAAACUUGCUGGCCUCAGGGGAGUGUUUUUUCACACCCCUGAGCAAGAAAGUUGCAGAGCUGUAAACUGCCAGUGUAGACAAGCCCUUAGUCUAAACUACAUACUUACUUCGAUAUAGCCACAUUACUCAGAGGUGUGAAAGAAAUCCAUACCCUUGAGUGACGUAGUUAUACUGAUCAUAACCCUGUGCAGACAGCGCCAUGUGGGCAGAAGAAAUUCUCACUGACAUAACUCCACCUCUGUGAGGAGCAGUCACUACUAAGCCAAUGGGAGAGAGCUCUGUUGGCUUACAGUAUCUUCACCAGAUGUGCCGCAGCUUCACCAGUGUAAAGUCUGUAGAGUAGACCUGCCCUUAGGAUUUGCCUACACUGCCCUUCUGUUUGGGCAAUGGAUUACAUUAAUGUGAACUAGAAAUCUUAGUAUGCACCCAUGGCAUACACAUGGGAGAGUUACUGCAAAGCACUCUGGUGCGUGUUAUUAAUUCCCCUGUAGUCCAAGCUGCAGGGCAGUAUAGACAUGCCCUACUUUCCUUGAAUUUCACUGAGCUCUUCAGACAAACUGGCAAGGGCAGAGUUUCAAGACUUGCUUUUCGCAUUGGUCAAAUUAGCUGUCAACUUUUUAAACUGACAGGACCAAUGGAAGUUUUGGGAGCUGUUUCCUUCCCAGGAAGAGGUAUCCUGUCCAACAUCUGGAAACUUGCUACUGAAUUCUUAAGAGAACUGUGCCCCACCUUCUCGGAACAUUAAAAUUAACUAUAAUAGUAAUUCUAGUUAUCCAACAGAAAUUAAAGAGUUGUCACCAAGUGGUGAUUAUUACAUUCUACCAUCACAUCUGUCAGGCCAGAGAGAUUCACUGCGUGUAGAAAGGACAUAUCAAGUAUACUGGGAAACCUUCUUGCACAAGUUUAAACAGACGCUUUCUCCCCCAUUUCUAAAAGAUAAAUUCUUUUAGAUUAGUACAUAAAGUACUUCUAGGGUCUGAAACAUCCUAAACAUUCCUAGAAGCUAUGGGGAGGGAGAGCACCUACCUAGAGCAUCUCCUUGUUUUCAGUGUAGGUGUGACGAACCAGUUUGAUCUAUACUCCCUAACCACUGAGCUCAUGUUUGAUGGAAAUACUGUCUUAUGUAUACAGGUAGCAGCUGUCAGUGAUCUCUGAGCCUAUGUUCAUUAGCUAGCAUCCAGUUUUGCUGCUGGAGUAUUUUGUAACAAAAUUUUGGCAAUACAGAGUAGCAAUACAAAAAAGCAAACUUGUAUAAAGGGACUAGAGUCUGAGCAAAGUAUUGCUUCACAUUUAUAGAAGAUGUUGAAAUGUGUAAAACUUUUUUUAUAACAGAAGCUGGAAAGAAGGAACAUAAGGGUCUUACUCUCAUCAGCUGACUUGACUUUUAGACUAAGAAAGCAUCAAUAAAAGUGGUCUAUGCCCAUUUUGAUGUUAGUGGAAUUGGGCAGUCUUGCCACUGGCAAACAGCCAGGAAGAAAGCAGGAGCAACCCAGGAGGAUUAUGCAGUCACCAUAUACUGUAUGUAAACCCCUCAUGCAGGAAGAAGGGAAAAAAUUGUGCUCUAGAAGUGAGAAACACAACUUAGCAACCCAGUAUUAAGACCCUACUUCUAGGAAGAACAGUUCUAAUAAAUGGAGCUGCAGGUAACAGGACUGCAUAAGUGGUAGGGGAACCUGAAUUUGUUUGAACUGUGUAGUCAUUUCUACAGUGCUCAGUCCCUGUCAUAUCAGAUUCUUUACCCCUGUUAAAGGUUUGAGAUAAAAUUGUUUUCUUCUAGAAAGAAGAGGAGCUCCUUUUAGUUAGUUUUACAGUGGUCAGUACUUGCAAUGCUGGUAAGCGGUCACACUGCCAUUUUACAUGGCUUAGUCUGGAAAGGUGGAGAAACUGAGCCUCACAGCAGCCAGAUUCCAUAAUCUGAGGUUUUGACCCCAGAUGCUCUACAGACUUUAGCGAGAUUUCCAUCCCCCCCAAGGCAACAGAAAGCCUCAAUGUUUUAAACUGCCCUUGGCCGAACCCGGGGAUUUUGUGCACACACACACCUUAGUCCACGUGUGCUGAUAUUAACUACUCAUUGCCUCAUAGUAAAAAGAAUUUCAUCUUCUUAGCUGCGUGCCCUGAUUUAUUUUCCCCUCAUGCUUGGAUGUUCAAUUCUCCAAUAUGUUUUGCCACUAUGAAACCAAGUGUUCAGAACUUAACCUGGUAGUUAAGAACCUAGCAUAAAUGGAGUAUAGGUAUGGUGAGCUACGAUAUGGAAGUUCAAUACUGCACCACUGAAAGCCACCAUCCAUUAAGAAAGGCAGUAUUUUGCCUUAUGUGGAAAAAAAAAAAAAUCAAUCCUAGAAUGACUUGACUUAAUCUGUUGACCAUGUCCUUUGAUGUACCUACAGUAACUAAAAAAAA